GACGAACGCUGGCGGCGUGCCUAAUACAUGCAAUUCGAACGGUUUAUUUUCAAGAGGCUUGCCUUUUGGUACUAUACAAUUUCGGACGGGUGAGUAAAACGUAGGCAACCUACCUGUCAAACCGGGAUAACCUCUUGAAACCGAAACUAAACACGGAUAAGCUCCUUUUUCUCAUUAAUGGUUAGUUAAAAGGUGCGACCUGAUGACAGAUGGGUCUGCGUAGCAUUAGCUAGUAGGUAGGUUAACGACCUACCUAGCCGCUGAUGCGUAGACAACCUGAGAGGGCGUACGGCCAGACUGGGACUGAGAUAAGGCCCAGACGCCUACGGGAGGCAGGAGUAGGGCAUCUUCGGCAGUGGGCGAAAGCCUGAAAGAGCGACGCAGUGUGAGUGAGGAAGGCAUUCGGAUUGUAAAACUCUGUUGUAUGGGAAGAAGGGAAAGGGUAGGACCAUUAGGUGACGGUACCAAACGAGAAAGCCCCGGCUAACUACGUG
rnacentral:rRNA from 1 species